UACAGAGGUCCCGAGCGUUGUUCGGAAUCACUGGGCGUAAAGCGCACGUAGGCGGAUUCGUAAGUCAGGGGUGAAAUCCCGGGGCUCAACCUCGGAACUGCCUUUGAUACUGCGGGUCUUGAGUCCGAUAGAGGUGGGUGGAAUUCCUAGUGUAGAGGUGAAAUUCGUAGAUAUUAGGAAGAACACCGGUGGCGAAGGCGGCCCACUGGAUCGGUACUGACGCUGAGGUGCGAAAGCGUGGGGAGCAAACAGG
rnacentral:rRNA from 1 species